CAGCCAGGCCGGAGCUGGAUAAUUGAGCCGAGCCCGUGUUACUCCUUGUGAGCACACGCUAAAGAGCGAUAUAUACGUGUCUUGUAGACUCCGAUAAUAAGAAAUACAACCAGUAGCACUGGAUCCCUCGGCAUGCCAUUCGAUGAAGACCGUAGCGAGUUGCGAUAAGCGAUGUGAUAUGCGAGUCCCAAACUGAUACGUGAACCAUCGGAUCGUCGAACGCACUGCACCGAGGAUUGCCCAUCCACGGUAUACCACAUUGAGUGUCAUUAUUCGUUCGUCUCUGACGAGUUCGGGGUCCACGGCCUUGCCGCGUUCCCUCAGAUCGAAGUCUAUGGCGUCAACCUGACCUUGCUGGUGUCGGUCGAGCCCCCUUUGACUGAGUUCACUGGGUACGCUCCGUCUGCAUCACGGGUCGGUCUGACCGGGACGCUUGCGUCCAAUCAUUCUCUAAUGAUGACCUCACGGUGGUAAGAUUACCCGCUAAACUUAAGCAUAUUAAUCAGCGGAGGAAAAGAAACUAACAAGGAUUCCCUUAGUAACUGCGAGUGAACAGGGAUGAGCUCAAUGUGUGAAUCUUACCGUCCUCGUGGGUGGUUGAGAGUUGUGCACUAUGAACGUUGUGUCUGCGCUUGCAGGCCGGUGGCCAAAGUCCGGAAGGAUACGGCACUAGAGAGGGUUAUAGUCCUGUUCUCGCCAUCCGGUCCUGUGCGUCUAUGACCAGCGCUUCUCGAGUCGGAUAGUUUUGUAUUGCUGUCCCAAUGGGAGGUUGAUCCCUUCCAAAGCUAAAUAUUUAUGGCAUGACCGAUAGUAGACAAGUACCGCGA
rnacentral:rRNA from 1 species